UGACUAUUUGAGCUGUAGGACACUUUAAU
rnacentral:piRNA from 1 species